rnacentral:rRNA from 1 species
UCAACGGAUAAAAGGUACUCCGGGGAUAACAGGCUGAUACCGCCCAAGAGUUCAUAUCGACGGCGGUGUUUGGCACCUCGAUGUCGGCUCAUCACAUCCUGGGGCUGAAGUAGGUCCCAAGGGUAUGGCUGUUCGCCAUUUAAAGUGGUACGCGAGCUGGGUUUAGAACGUCGUGAGACAGUUCGGUCCCUAUCUGCCGUGGGCGCUGGAGAACUGAGGGGGGCUGCUCCUAGUACGAGAGGACCGGAGUGGACGCAUCACUGGUGUUCGGGUUGUCAUGCCAAUGGCACUGCCCGGUAGCUAAAUGCGGAAGAGAUAAGUGCUGAAAGCAUCUAAGCACGAAACUUGCCCCGAGAUGAGUUCUCCCUGAGACUUAGAGUCUCCUGAAGGAACGUUGAAGACGACGACGUUGAUAGGCCGGGUGUGUAAGCGCAGCGAUGCGUUGAGCUAACCGGUACUAAUGAACCGUGAGGCUUAACCUU